CUUACAGGUUCUGCUAAGUUUGCUUUUCCUGCUCUGGUUUUUUUUUUGCUUUAAUCUUUUUCCAUCAAAUCUGGUAUCAGAGCCAGGCUCUGGUCUUUUGGGCAAUUGAGUAAAAGGUUUUGGGGAGUGUAGGGAAACACAAGAGAAAGUGCAGAGAUGGCAGUAAACGUUUUUUCAUCAUCCUCACAGCCGCUCAUACCGAUUUUCACAGGUGAAAAGUAUGAGUUUUGGAGUAUUAAGAUGAAGACUCUUUUCAAGUCUCAGGAUCUUUGGAAUUUGGUCGAAUAUGGGUUCGUGGAUUUAGAAGACCCAGAUGAAGAGGCAGAAGAAAGAUUGAAAGAAACCAAAAAGAAUGAUGCCAAAGCUUUAUUCCUAAUUCAACAAGCUGUCCAUAAAACAAUUUUCUCAAAAAUUGCAACAGCAGCAAAAUCUUUGGAGGCCUGACAAAUUUUGAAGAAGGAGUUCCAAGGCUCCUCGAAGGUAAUCACGGUGAAGGGGGAGAUGCAUGAAAAUGCUGCUGGAUGUGACAGUGGCAGUGGCAGUGGCAAAGGUGGCUUUCAUGAAAGAGGCCAAUGAAAAGGUGCAGACAGAAGCGCAUCUAAUGAAGAGAGGCAAAGGAAGAUCUUUAAAUAUUACUACUAUAACACACCAGAUCAUAGAGAGGCUUAUUGUUGGAAAAAAUAAAAAGAUGAGAACAACCAAGCAAGUUUUACAGAGGAACCAAAUGAAGAAAGUAAGUUGUUCAUGACUCUUUUUUGAGAGAGAGAGCAGUCUAACAAUGUUUGAUUUUUGGACAGCAGUUGUUUUAACCAUAUGUGUGGAACAAAAUCAUUAUUUAAGGAACUUGAUGAGUCCGAUAAAACAGAUGUGAUGCUAGGAGACAGCAAGAAGAUUCGAGUUGAAGGCAAAGAUACCAUAAGCAUUAAAACUAGUCAAGGGAAUGCUAAGAUUUUACAAGAUGUGUUGUUUGUUCCUGAUUUAUCUCAUAAUCUACUUAGCAUUGGACAAUUAAUGCUUAGUGGAUACUCAAUUCUGUU